ensembl:lncRNA
UGCAGGGUGGGUCCUACCUAGACCAGGCUGAUCCUGGACCAUCCCACAGAUGCUCAAUCAGAUCUGGAUGUGGGGAGUGUGGAACCCAGAUGUUCAGAGGGAGAUGAUGCCACAUCUGGUCCAGCUGAUGGAAGGUCUUGAAGUUCUCUGACUGGCCUCGACUGAAGAUGGUCGUCUCACUGGAUUUAAGAUGCACAAUGAGGGACGUCUGCAGAGACUGAGAAAGAGUCUCACCACAUCCUGACAUGAGGAAAAAGACUUUAUUGAAGACUACAAUGAGAAAAACUAUCAGACAGCAGACGGCUGCAUUCAAGGUGAGCUCUGAACAUUUGAUCUGGAACAGGAAUUCAAUAACGGCAGCAUGAGCUUCAUUUCAGUCUGUAGCUGCUGAAUUCAUGGAUGAAUCAUCUGGUACUAGAGAGGAAGACCAUCAAACAUCCACGUCAGCUGAUGGAGGUCCAAGAGUCUCACCAAACAAACAACCUACAGAGUGAAGACCUCAAAUCUGAUUGGACGGCCUCCUAUUCAGCCACAUUUUAGGCUGUUAGAUUGUUCCAGAUAAGACGAGUACAAGAUUCUUCAGAGCCGUUCUACCACGAGCCUGACAGGAAGAACUCCAACAGCUACUGAAUGUUCCUGUGGUUCCGUCAAGGCUACAGGAGGAGCCCUAUGAGGACGAGCCGGUCCACCUGAUGGUGGCCAGUCGCUGCGGUUCAAAGCCAACACUGACUACGUGGACUUCUACUGGACCACACGGAGGCCUUCAAACCGGACCAACAAGUUCAGUGACUCCCCGACUCAUGGGUCUGAGGACGCCGCCGAGCCUCGGUCCAGCCGGCCUCCUGUCUGUGGGUGUUUGAGUGCUGAGAGGUUUGUGGAUGUAUGUGAACGUUCUGUGUUGAAACAGCAGCUUUGGACUCAGUAACGCCGGGAAAAACCAAGAGCUCCUUUAUUUGUGACUUCCACUAAAAAACUGAUGAAAAUAAGUUUGGCAGGGUUCUGACUGAUAACAG